CAGUAGCCACGGUAAUACGAAGGGUGCAAGCGUUGUUCGGAAUUACUGGGCGUAAAGCGCACGUAGGCGGCUUGGUAAGUUAGAGGUGAAAGCCUGGAGCUCAACUCCAGAAUUGCCUUUAAGACUGCCGAGCUAGCAGGUGAGAGAGGUAAGUGGAAUUCCGAGUGUAGAGGUGAAAUUCGUAGAUAUUCGGAAGAACACCAGUGGCGAAGGCGGCUUACUGGCUCAUACUGGACGCUGUGGUGCGAAAGCGUGGGGAGCAAACAGGAUUAGAUACCCCUGUAGUCCCUGUCUCUUAUAC
rnacentral:rRNA from 1 species